CUACGGGUUGCUCCAGUGGGGAAUUUUGCGCAAUGGGCGAAAGCCUGACGCAGCAACGCCGCGUGCGGGAUGAAGGCCUUCGGGUCGUAAACCGCUUUCAGCAGGGAAGAAGUUGACUGUACCUGCAGAAGAAGCUCCGGCUAACUACGUGCCAGCAGCCGCGGUAAUACGUAGGGAGCGAGCGUUAUCCGGAUUUAUUGGGCGUAAAGCGCGCGUAGGCGGCUUGCCAAGCGGGAUCUCAAAACCGAGGGCUCAACCCCCGGACGGAUCCCGAACUGGCAGGCUCGAGUUCGGUAGGGGAAGAUGGAAUUCCCAGUGUAGCGGUGAAAUGCGCAGAUAUUGGGAAGAACACCGAUGGCGAAGGCAGUCUUCUGGUCCGCAACUGACGCUGAGGUGCGAAAGCUAGGGGAGCGAACAGGAUUAGAUACCCCUGUAGUC
rnacentral:rRNA from 1 species